CUUCCAUCCCUUCCACAGAUAAUUUUUCCCUUGACAAAGCUUUACUGUGGACAAAUGGUGCCUUUACAGACCUCCUCAGAACAUCAGUCUAAGUGAGUGUAUUUUGCUAUCAGUGUUUAGCAUAUUGAUUAACUUGUUUUUAGAUAAAAGCUGUGAAGGAGAAGAUGCUUCUUUCUUCUGUCCCUCAGCAGGGAUCUCAGCAGUUUCUCAUCACCUCCAGACUACAUGCUGAAUAGAGGUGUGGGGCCAAGUUGUCUUCAAACAGCAACAGCUGUGUUUGGUGUAGCCAGCAGCCCAAGCACAUGUCAUCUCAGCACUGCCCUCCAGUUUUGCAGCGUCAUUUAUUAGCUAUGUGUGAGGUCAAAGAGCACACAGGUAUUCACACAGCCACUGCUGGACUUCAAGAUCACUCUGGAUUCCUCUCCAUCCUGUCCCAACCAUGCCAUGUCUGCCUUACAGCGUGUGCCUUCCAGCAGCGUGGGACUGCAGGCUGCAGAGACUUGCCAAGAGGAGCUCGCAUCAAACCAGUCUGGCACAUCAGCAGGGAAAGCAUGAGGAGACAGCCAGCAGCUUGGUGCUAGCUGGAGGUCCAGAGCAUUGCACAAGCUUUCUCAGACUGAGCUGGAAUUUUCAUAGAGCUUCAGUUUAUGCUAUUGGCUAUGACAGAUUGUAUCUUCUUGGGGGAAGAUUGCAAUGACAGGGGAAGAUAUACCAAAGAAUGAAUUACAGAAACUGCUGCUGAUUGCUGCAUUGUAAAAGGUCUCCUGCUGGCACUACAGCUACUAUUGCUCACAGCUGGGAGCAAAGUGUUUCCAAACCCAGCUUUCCAGCUCUUUCCUGACACACUGAGAUAUGGCACUGUACAGUCUAAUUGCAUUAUAAGAAGUAACACAACAAAGCCAAUUCCCAAUUCAAAUUGCAUCCCCCAAUUCAAAGCCGGUGUUCAUUUUAUAACAGGAUGCAAAACCAGAAGCACAGAGUUCUUUUUAAAGCUAUGGUGCAGCUGAGCAGCACUUUCAGUGAAACUCAGGCUCUGUGGGAACAGUGCCAUGAAGUACGGGAUGCCAAUCAACAUGGCCUAACACUUUUAUUUCUUCUCAUGAAAUAAGUUACUUUUUAAAUGGCAUUAGAAUAAUGAACAAUACUUUCAAUUGCAGCAUUGACAACUUCUCUUCAGCAUCAUGCUGCUUCUAAGUUAACAUCUUUAGAAGAAAUGCUGGCAUAGUCGUGUCCUCGACAGGCACAUGAAAGAACAUCACCAGAGACCCAGAAGUUCACUAGCGAAACACAUGGUUCAGACACUGACCAUUUGCUUGCAAGCAUAUGUAACAUUUGCUUAAAUUCCCAUGCUAUUGAGAUGAUUAACAAAUAGCUUAUUCACCCUGGGGUUUUUCCCAUGUCCUAAUAGCUCAGGUAAUAAAUAAUCCUUCAAAAAUUUUAACA
rnacentral:lncRNA from 1 species